rnacentral:hammerhead_ribozyme from 1 species
AUCCAGCUGAUGAGUCCCAAAUUGGACGAAACGCGCGUCAAACUGGAU